UGGAGGUCCAUGAUUUGAUGUCAAAAAGUUCAAUUUAAUAAGUUUGAGUUCAGAAACAAAAAUAUCAACUUAUGGAGGACCGGAAGUGAAAAUAAGCUAAGUUUGACCGUUGUUGCUCUUCGAUCGAGCUGCACUUCGAUCCGCGACGGCGAGGCUUGACUCGAAGACGUCGAAGCUAGCUUCUCAAGACAACACAGAGGAUAUUGACGGAGGAGAUUGUCGUGGCCAUGGAUUCCGGUCAGAGUCUGCUGACUUGGAGCUGCGAUGGAGAUGGCGGCGUGAGGUACAGAGUGUGGCGCAGCCUAUCAACGGUAACUCAGCUCAAAUCUAAAGAUUUAGGUUAAAUCUUUAGAGACCUGACUUCUUGAAUCGAAGAAUUUAAUCAAAUUCGAUACAAGGCUCUCGUAUUGACGACAGAAUCGAAUCAAUGCAAGGCUUUAGAGAAACUCUAGUUUAUUAUCUU
rnacentral:lncRNA from 1 species